rnacentral:ncRNA from 2 species
UUGAAGGUCUUAGGAGAGAGCUAAAAAUAGCCACCGAAGGGACAAGUAUUGCGAACGUCAAGCGCAAAAUGAAAUUCUCAGGUAAAAGUAAUAAGACUGGACG